UGGAGGUGCGUCUAAGUGUGAAGGGUUGGUGGGAGGGGUGUGGGGAGUAGGCAGAGCACCCCCUCCCUGCGGCCGGGGGGAAGCUCAGGGACGACAGAAGCUGACUGGAUGUCCACGCUGACCAGGAGUACGUCCUGCAAGUCUCACUGCAGCGCAUCAACACCGGCUAGUAGAGGAGGAAGCAGGACAGUAAGGCCCAGGCCCCCAGGUUCCCCAAGAAUAAGGAUGAGGGCUGGUUUCUGGUUCUAGGAGAGGUGGAGCGCAGAGAGCUACUGGCCGUCAAACGCAUCGGAUACUGCCGACACCGCAGCACCGUUUCCCUGGCCUUCUACACCCCCGAGAAGACCGGAAAGUGUAUCUACGCGCUAUAUUUGAUGAGUGACAGUUACCUGGGUCUGGACCAGCAGUAUGACCUCCACCGCAGCGUGACCCCUGCCUGCAUCGCUGCCCAGGUCAACAGUGAAGUCACUGAGGCCAUGGGAGGCAUGUCCGUCAAGUGAUGCGUCAACAUGAUGACAUCAUCAUGAGUGACAUAGUGACAAUGACCAUAUAAAAAUGACAAGAGACAAUGGCCAUGUGUCUUUAGACGCCAAUGUUUGGGAUGUUUACCCUGAUGAUGUGAUGGUGGUAAUUGUGUGACUGGAUGUUAGCCUUUAAGCAGGGAUGUCAAACUCAUUCCAUGGCGGGCCUAGUGUCUGCGGGUUUUUGUAUUUUCCUUUCAAUUAAGACCUAGACAACCAGGUGAAGGGAGUUGUUCCUUACUAAAUCGUGACCUUAACUUAUCAAUCAAGUACAAGGGAUGAGCGAAAAACCCUCAGACACUCUUACCUUCUGUGGAAUGAGUUUGACACAUGUGCCUUAAAGGGUCCCAUGCCUGUCUGGUCCUAAUAUAAAGGGAGGAAGGGAAUGAGGGUACAGGGUUAAGGAACUAGGGAGAUUCUGGGUCAUGGGCUAUGAGAAACUGUUUGGCCUAAUGGGACCCUGUACAAUGAUCAAUACUCAGAAAUACUCAUGAAAGACAGCGCUGUCAUGUUACCUCAUCAGCAUUGUGUAAUACAAUGAAUACCUAUUUUGUUGCAGUAUGUCAUAUCAUUCCCCAGUCAUAUUCUGUCAAUAAUAUAUCCCCAAAUCCACCAACUUUUGAACGGGUAUUGAGAAAAAUAAAGCCUGAUAAACAGUGGCUUGUUUUACUCAGUUGAUUUAGGGACUGGAGAGUGGGGGAGGGGUGACAUAUUUUAUUGAGACGUUGUUGAGAUGAAUAAUAACAGUAGAAAGAGAGAGCAGCACAAAGUGUGGUGGUUAACUGCAGGAAAAACAUCACUGUGUCCAACAGGGAAAAGCUGCUCCGGAGAGGAGUUUAUUUAGGCUGGCGGGGAGGAACAGGAAUUCUGUGCAGGUGUGUGAAACAUGCUUCCCUGUAGUGCUGUGAGGCUACAGGUACUGCCCCCCCCACCUCCACAAUCCUUAGUGUAUAGCGCAGAAUAGCCUCCUCCUUUCCUUCUUCUUCCUCUCCUCCUCUUUCUUUGUGUAAGGUUCAUCUAUAGAAGCUGAUCAAACUGCCAUAGACAGUCAUACAAGGAACAGAAGAACAUAACCACAAUACACAGAGGUAAAUGUAUAAAGAUGUUUCAUUGAUUAGUAUAUUGUUACUGUAUUUCUUUAUUUUCUUGGGAGAGCUGACAACUAUAUUUUAGAACCAAACUUAUGAGACAGAAUCCAGCUGCGUCUUUGUUCUGAUUUGUGGAUUGUCCAAUCAAUUGAAGCAGAUGUAACUUCUCUGUUGAUUGAAUAUAAUGACUUUUGAAAAAUA